ACAACGCUGGCGGCGUGCUUAACACAUGCAAGUCGAACGAUGAACCACUUCGGUGGGGAUUAGUGGCGAACGGGUGAGUAACACGUGGGCAAUCUGCCCUGCACUCUGGGACAAGCCCUGGAAACGGGGUCUAAUACCGGAUACAACCACUGACCGCAUGGUCGGGUGGUGGAAAGCUCCGGCGGUGCAGGAUGAGCCCGCGGCCUAUCAGCUUGUUGGUGAGGUAGUGGCUCACCAAGGCGACGACGGGUAGCCGGCCUGAGAGGGCGACCGGCCACACUGGGACUGAGACACGGCCCAGACUCCUACGGGAGGCAGCAGUGGGGAAUAUUGCACAAUGGGCGAAAGCCUGAUGCAGCGACGCCGCGUGAGGGAUGACGGCCUUCGGGUUGUAAACCUCUUUCAGCAGGGAAGAAGCGAAAGUGACGGUACCUGCAGAAGAAGCGCCGGCUAACUACGUGCCAGCAGCCGCGGUAAUACGUAGGGCGCAAGCGUUGUCCGGAAUUAUUGGGCGUAAAGAGCUCGUAGGCGGCUUGUCGCGUCGGUUGUGAAAGCCCGGGGCUUAACCCCGGGUCUGCAGUCGAUACGGGCAGGCUAGAGUUCGGUAGGGGAGAUCGGAAUUCCUGGUGUAGCGGUGAAAUGCGCAGAUAUCAGGAGGAACACCGGUGGCGAAGGCGGAUCUCUGGGCCGAUACUGACGCUGAGGAGCGAAAGCGUGGGGAGCGAACAGGAUUAGAUACCCUGGUAGUCCACGCCGUAAAC
rnacentral:rRNA from 1 species